CCUACGGGGGGCUGCAGUGGGGAAUAUUGCACAAUGGGCGCAAGCCUGAUGCAGCGACGCCGCGUGAGGGAUGACGGCCUUCGGGUUGUAAACCUCUUUCAGUAGGGAAGAAGCGAAAGUGACGGUACCUACAGAAGAAGCACCGGCUAACUACGUGCCAGCAGCCGCGGUAAUACGUAGGGUGCGAGCGUUAUCCGGAAUUAUUGGGCGUAAAGAGCUCGUAGGCGGUUUGUCGCGUCUGUCGUGAAAGUCCGGGGCUUAACCCCGGAUCUGCGGUGGGUACGGGCAGACUAGAGUGCAGUAGGGGAGACUGGAAUUCCUGGUGUAGCGGUGGAAUGCGCAGAUAUCAGGAGGAACACCGAUGGCGAAGGCAGGUCUCUGGGCUGUAACUGACGCUGAG
rnacentral:rRNA from 1 species